CACUCCUGCGGGAGGCAGCAGUGGGGAAUAUUGCACAAUGGGCGCAAGCCUGAUGCAGCCAUGCCGCGUGUAUGAAGAAGGCCUUCGGGUUGUAAAGUACUUUCAGCGGGGAGGAAGGCGAUAAGGUUAAUAACCUUGUUGAUUGACGUUACCCGCAGAAGAAGCACCGGCUAACUCCGUGCCAGCAGCCGCGGUAAUACGGAGGGUGCAAGCGUUAAUCGGAAUUACUGGGCGUAAAGCGCACGCAGGCGGUCUGUCAAGUCGGAUGUGAAAUCCCCGGGCUCAACCUGGGAACUGCAUUCGAAACUGGCAGGCUAGAGUCUUGUAGAGGGGGGUAGAAUUCCAGGUGUAGCGGUGAAAUGCGUAGAGAUCUGGAGGAAUACCGGUGGCGAAGGCGGCCCCCUGGACAAAGACUGACGCUCAGGUGCGAAAGCGUGGGGAGCAAACAGGAUUAGAAACCCUGGUAGUCCCAUGAU
rnacentral:rRNA from 1 species